AUAUGUUGUGGCUUUUUCAUGAUGACAAUUCACGCACAUCUAGUAGUUCUGUAUGUCAGUCUGCAGGUUUUCAAAGGGAGGCAACUACAAAGAACAAGUACAAUCUCACCCAGCAAAUAGGUGUAUUGAAGCACAAGGUGGCUUUGUUUCUGGAGUCAGAUACUUUAUUGCUAUGCAUCAGUGUAAGUAAGUUUCUCCAAUGAAGUACUUGUCAAUUACUUGGAGAUGUGUA
rnacentral:lncRNA from 1 species